GACGAACGCUGGCGGCGUGCCUAACACAUGCAAGUCGAACGGACGAGGCCCCUUCGGGGACCGAGUUAGUGGCGAACGGGUGAGUAACGCGUGAGCAACCUGCCUUUCAGAGGGGGACAACAGUUGGAAACGACUGCUAAUACCGCAUAACACAUUCGGGGGGCAUCCCCUGAAUGUCAAAGAUUUAUCGCUGAAAGAUGGGCUCGCGUCUGAUUAGCUAGUUGGUGAGGUAACGGCUCACCAAGGCGACGAUCAGUAGCCGGACUGAGAGGUUGUACGGCCACAUUGGGACUGAGAUACGGCCCAGACUCCUACGGGAGGCAGCAGUGGGGAAUAUUGGGCAAUGGGGGAAACCCUGACCCAGCAACGCCGCGUGAAGGAAGAAGGCUUUCGGGUUGUAAACUUCUUUUACCAGGGACGAAGACGUGACGGUACCUGGAGAAAAAGCCACGGCUAACUACGUGCCAGCAGCCGCGGUAAGAC
rnacentral:rRNA from 1 species